rnacentral:rRNA from 1 species
GAUGAACGCUGGCGGCGUGCCUAAUACAUGCAAGUCGAGCGAACAGACGAAGAGCUUGCUCCUCUGACGUUAGCGGCGGACGGGUGAGUAACACGUGGAUAACCUACCUAUAAGACUGGGAUAAAUUCGGGAAACCGGAGCUAAAUCCGGCUAAUAUAUUGAACCGCAAGGUUCAAUAGUGAAAGACGGUUUUGCUGUCACUUAUACAUGGAUCCGCGCCGCAUUAGCUAGUUGGUAAGGUAACGGCUUACCAAGGCGACGAUGCGUAGCCGACCUGAGAGGGUGACCGGCCACACUGGAACUGAGACACGGUCCAGACUCCUACGGGAGGCAGCAGUAGGGAAUCUUCCGCAAUGGGCGAAAGCCUGACGGAGCAACGCCGCGUGAGUGAUGAAGGUCUUCGGAUCGUAAAACUCUGUUAUUAGGGAGGAACAAAUGUGUAAGUAACUAUGCACGUCUUGACGGUACCUAAUCAGAAAGCCACGGCUAACUACGUG